AGCUCAGAGAGUGCAAGCACAAAGGCAACCCCAGACUGCAGCAUUUGACAGCUCAGGGAGCAGAGGCUGUGGCUGAGCCUAUGCCAGAAGCUGGUGGGGGAGGUUCUAAUUGCAUUCCUGCAGCUUGUUUACGUCGAGCUUCGCUGCUUGCUCCUUUGAGCUGCCUUGAUUCUGAAGAAAGCACAGAAACCUCUCCAGGAGAAAGACAACUCAUGCAAAGAAUGACUCAGCUCUACAUCCCAUCCUGCAGAGAGGAACAAUGCCUCUGCCAACGUGCCCAGAGCCUCUGAAAAUCUCUAACAAGGCUGCUGGAAAGCAAGGAGAGGGUUGGAUGAGUUAAGAGAAACAACAGCCAGGCUCUCUGAUCAAAGAAUCAAAUCAGAGAUGAGAAAGGAAGAGAGAAUUGGCUGACAGGCAAGCAGGCACCCUGUGGGACGUGGAGGACACAAUUUCAUCUCUCUUUCCUCUGGUUGCCCCUCCAUAAAAUGCCUGUUGGCCACCUGCUCUGCUCAGUCUGGGGUCAGAGGCAAGCUCCCCAUCAGAUGCCUGCACACCUUCAAGCCAGGUGCAGCCUGUAUUGCUGUGAAUGGAAAUAAAGAAGAGAUCCUUCAGUGCCAGCAGAGUUAAAUCAA